CUUAUCCACACAAGAGGGGAUGGCGUGGGAAAUGCUAACACCUUCUAAGACAUGCUGAAGAUGAUGAAUUCCCAAGAUAACCGGCUGAGGUGUCUUUGCUAAGCUGACAUAUUUGAUAUUAUUCACAGAUAACUCACAUGGUCAGAGAGAUUCUCAUUAUGCAAUCCAUCCUUGAGCAAGAGGCAUUGAAGAUUUUUCUCAGCCACUCAGUGUUUAGAUGAAGGACUGCAGGAACAGAAAGAUUAACAACCUACCUAAAAGGCGGAGCCAAGAUACAUACCAGGCAGACGGGCCUGGUAAACUAGACAAUGGCCACCACCACAGUCAAGAUAGAAAGCAUUUCCAUCACACCAGAACGUGUCUUCCAGCCUCUCUGCAGCCCAUCCCCCAUCCUGCAUGGCUCCAUGACCACUGAUGUUCUCUUAUCACUAUAGAUUUGUUUUUCUGUCCUAGAAUUUCAUCUAAAUACAGUCAUAAGGAUGGAGUUGUGGAACCAAAGGGAUACUGCAAAAUAACCAUGUGUGACUUGUGACGUUAGAUCAUAAAAAACAACGUGGCUUCUGCCUUGCUCUCUCUUGGGUGAUUCCCUUUUGGUGGAAGGUCACUAUGUCACCAGGAUAUUCAAACAGCUCAGAAGAAGAACAUGUGAAGCUUUUUGCCAACUAAUAGCAGAAGGCAACUCAAAAUCUAAGAUGGUUCUGGUUAUGUUUAGAAGAAAUGAAAUACUACUUAAAACAGAAAACAGUCACGGAUGGGAAACAGGCAUACAGAAGUUGGCACAGCUACGUGGCAAGAUCUGAACUCAGAGGUGGCCCUAAUUACCAGACAUUUAUUAUAGAAUAAAACAGAAAAGUAUCUUCACUUCUGCCUUGGGUCAGGUUUUCCAGAAGCAGACCCUGAGACAAGGAUUCAUGUGUAAGUAAUUUAUUUAUUAUUUUCUCCCAGGGGAAAUCAGGAAGGA